UAAGUUGAUGAGUAAGAUGUCUAAAGUAUUUACCUCCUUAGAUUUGAUCCAAGGAAAGGUAACACUUUAGAAUAGUUUCCUUGAAAGAUAUGAAGGAAAGAAGCAUCAUAAGAUAAUGGAUUUCUCCAUUAAGAGAAGAACGAACUCAAAUAAGAUUUAGUUCGUUGGAUGUUAUCAAUUAUCCAUAUAUAAGAUAUACACUUCUAAGACAAUAUGAUUAUCAAUUAGAAGAUCUUCCAAAAUUUUCAUGACUCCAUAGGAUGUAGUUGGAAAGAAAGACAAAUCUUAAUCAUGGUAAGAUUUGGGGUUGUGUGCUAAUAAGCAAUAUUUGUUUAAAGAAUUAUCUUGUGGGUAUCCUUAAAUUAACAUUUGGAUAUCACUUCUAUAAACUAACUAACAAAUGUUGUUUGUUGGGUAGUCCAUUGUAAUCCUACACUAGGAUUUGCCUAAGAUAGAGCAAAUGAACGAGGGAUAGAACUCAAAGAAUGGGUUCUUUGAGAGACCAGAUAGUGAUCAACAAAUAUAACAACCUAGUUCCUAUACCACAAGCUCCAAGGUAGUCGAGAAGGAUUUAUAAACUGUCUUAGUUGAAUGGUUUGAACUUUAUAAUUAUGUCAUAGAGUUACACCUAUUAAUUCGAAAGAAAUAAGAAUGAAAAUACUUAUGACUACAUUGAGUGUAUAUACGACAUAUACUCAAGAAAAUGGUAAAGUACCAUUUGACCCGAAAUAAUGAAACCUUUAUAGCUAAUUGGCAGCUUAAGGUGACUACAAUCAAAGAUAUUGGUUGACUUUGAAGAAACCAUCUUUAACGUAGUCUUGAUUUCAAUUAAUUCGAAGAUUGCUAGCUACAACUAAAUGGUGAUUCAAUGUUUGGACAUAAUAUGGGUUUCCGAAACCAUUAUUAUGAUAGUCUUGAUAAUAUAUGUCUAAAACUAUGAAUCACAAGACAAGUAAGUUGUAGAGAUCCAUCCAUCAUGAAUCUUAGCAAGCUAGUGGGAGCUAUAAGCGUCUUAUGAGAGAAAAGAUCAAAUCGUUUGAUUUCUCAUAAAGAUGUAAAUGAAUCUUUUGUUUACUAGGUUUACAAAAGAUUAGUGGGAGUUAAUCAUGUUCCUAAAUUUGAAUAUAUAUAUACACAUAUAUGAUAUAUUAAUUUUGGAAAUGAAAAGAAUACUUCUUCAUUGCAGUUAUGACUUUAAACAUUCUAUAAAGAUAGAAUGGAUAUGGGAGACAUAGUCUAUAUACAUGGGAUGGAAAUCUACAAUGAUAGAUUUCAAGAUAUAAUUGGAUUAUAUCAAUGCCUAAUAAUAGACAAAAGAUGCUAGGAAGUUUCUCAUAUGAUGAUAAACUUCAAUCAGAAGAACAACUCUAGUGAGACUAGGAGGUAGCUCUUCUCAAAAGGAACGUACCCUUUGACUCCCAAAGAAAUAAUGCGUAAAUAGAAUCCUUUAUGCAUACGCAGAAAGGUGAUUUACGUAUUUCAUAUUGUAUGAAAAACGUUCAUAUAAGUUGUACCAAGAUCGGUACAAGACGAUAUCAAUGCAAGCCCAGGAUCAGAACCAUGGCAACUGUCAAGUGAAUCCUUAAGUAUUUGAGAAAUAAUAAAGGAUGGAUUCCUCAAGAAUGAGGAAGAAUUAGAGUAACGUAAUGGAAGCGUAAAUGUAUUAGAUUAUGAAUCUAAUCCAUCAUUGGAUGUUUCUUCAUUAUGAAUGAAGAGAUAAUUAGAUAUCUCUUUAACAUGACUAAAGAGAUAUUUGGAUGGAAACAUUAAAAGUAAUGACUUUAGUGUGUUCCAUUAUGCAUGCAAAAUAUAUUGCCAUAAAGAAGCUUACAACAAUGUUGUUUGGAUGAGAAAGUUCAUUUAUGAACUCUCUAUUCCGUUCCAACCAGAAAGUGUCUCUAGUGUACCGACACUACGACACUAAUGGGGUAAUAGCUCAAGCCAGGGAAUCAAGGCCUCAUCAUGAUCCGAACUCAAAUGAGAGACUAAACCACAUGAUUAAGAAUCAUGUAUAAUGGUGACGUCGUUAUUCUCAAGGUUGCUUCUAUGGAUAACAUAUAGAUAUCCAUUGCCUAGGCCUACUACUCAGCCAUUUUUGAAAUGACUACCGAAGAGGUAUCAUCAUUGAUGACCAAGCUGAUUAGCUCUAGUGCAAGUGGGAGAUUGUUGGAAAUGUGCGCUAAAACCAAUCAUAUGAUGAUACUUUACGGACAUUUCACAUGUUAAACUAAUCUAGUUAAUAUCAAGGGCAAAGAUUAUUGUUUUAAGCCAUCUCAUAUAAAUGUUAUAUGCUUAAACGAUAAGUCCAAGGAAUAUGUAAUUAGGAGAAUGUAAUUUAAAGAAGUUAGAUUCAUGGGAUCAUUCUCUUCCGUAUACAUAUCCUAAACGUUCCUGAUCAUAGGAUUGCCAAUUGGGCAUUGACAGUCCGUUAAGAUCAGUAUGUGUUGUGUCUUCUCUCAGAGAGAGUGACUGGUCUCAAGUCAUUGGUGUGAUUGACAUCAAGACAAGCAUGUAGGUGCUCAAUAGAGAAUGAGUCCACUGAACACGAUCAACGAAGAGUUCUCAUACUCAUGUCACAUGAAAUCUCAUGGUUGGGAUAAUGCAAAGUAAUCCUUUGACCUGAGGCAUCAUAGUUGUCUUGUGGUUAGGUCCUUGAUCUUUGACUAUGUCAAAGUCACUCUGUCAGAGGGUGUCCACGGCAUAGUUGGGAUCUCUAACCUUCAAACCGUUUGAGGGAGAAUAAUCUAUGAUAUGAUUAAGAAUCUCUGACAAGAGUAUGAAUGAGAUUUAGGAAGUCGUUCCAAAUCACAUUCAAGGUAAUCAUAUAAGUAAAUGAAUCACAUUGGAUAGUAGACAUGAUUAAACUAUCAAACCAAAUAAUGUGGUCAAGAGUAUUGUAUUAGAGAAAGACCAUAUUGCAUUGUAAUCCUAAACUGAAUAGGUUCUCCACCUCUUCUGAUUAGCUUGGGUAACCAUGACAUACUGCUAGGUGUCAUUCAUGUUUUGUGGAAGCCCUAAAUAUGUAUAAUCACUAAAGGGAGAAUUGAAAGUAAGUUUCAAUUCACAAUUGAUUUGAAAAAGUUCUAAUCGCCCACUGCCUCGCUAAAAGGAACCUAAUGGAUCGUACAACGUGUAAGGUAGAGAUUGAAGAAACAAAGGAGAUGAGUAAGGAUAAUUAAAUGGUUUAAUUAUUUAUGGCAAGGAUUAAUUAAUAUGUUAAUUAAUCAAGCCAAUAAAGUUCGUUAAAGUCCUCGGGUUAGUUUUGGGCCUCAAGGCCCAAUAGGCUUCGAACGUCAAGCCCAUUGACUUAAGUUGUAUGACAACUUAAUGACUAAAUAUUCACAAAGGCCCAAACAGCCCAAUAACACACUAUGGCCGGCCAUAUUGAUAAAGGAGUGGGUUUUGAACUUAUUACAAGUUUGCCACUCCAAUGAAGGUAGGUAUAAAUAUGACUUUAUAGCCUUUUCUCCAUUAGGGUUUUCUUUUAGAGAAAAGAUGAGAACACAAUGUCUCUUCCUUUCUCUUUAAGAGGCCAGCCACCCUAGAGGAUUUUAGCUAGCAAUCUUACUUCCUCUAGGUCACUUAUCUCUUCUUCAAGUCCAUCCUUGGUGUGGAAAAAUUAGAGGUUCUCAACUUUGGGAACUUGGAGAGUCCUUUCAACCAUCCUCAUCCAAGAAAUCCAUGGAUCUAAGAAGCGAGGAAUGAAGGCCCUCUCCUUGGGUGAUUAGCCUUUGCUUAUGCAAAGAGGAAUCAACAAAGGUAUAAAAUCUCUCAACUCAUUUUGUUCUUGAGUUGAGUCUUGGUUCACAUUUCUACUAGGCUUUGAAUUUCAUGGGUAAUGUUUUGUUUUUGAGUGUAUACAAGCAUGAUUCCGCCUUUAAAUGUUAAUUGCAUGCCAUAGAUGUUGCUCAAAUGAACAUGUUUUCACAAAAUUUCCUUCAUACAAUUACAUUCACAUAGGUCUAGUCCGAAUAGCAGUCAAGCCCUUAAUAAGAAGAGGCAUCAAUACCUCUAUUUUGUUAUGCCUUCGAGAUGCAAGAUUGACUGACUUCAGUGAUAGAAUUCUUAGGAUGAUUGAGUUAAGUGUUUACAACAUAACAAUUCGUUUUGAUUGUUUCCCAGAUCUCACGAUAAGUCUUUCAGAUCCCCACAUGCUGAAAACACUCAAAUUAAACAUCAAAACUUCAGGGUACCAAGUUCUUGAAAGGGUCUAACCAUUAGCCUUGAUCUUUAAAGUUUACUACAAAGUUACAGGAACAAACAUGAAUUUCCAAGCCUUAGUUAAAAGUCCUAGAGACCACACACUCUUGAUACAAACCAAUCAAGAAAAUGCCAACAUUAAAAUACCCAGAACUAUCAAAUGGUCAGAUAUCAGUCUACCUUCAUAUUGGUGCUUGAUCAAUGAAAGCAAACCAGUAGGCAUACAAAAUAGCUUAGUCAACCUCGACAACAUAGAACAAUAUUUUGACAGAACAGUUAAAAUCAACUUCAACCCUCCAACCAUAAAAUCUAGUGUCCACUUACAUGGUUAGCCCAGUCAUACAAAUCUUUAGAGCCUGAUAGAAAUUUUUUUUUCUGAAUCCACAUUAGCCGAUAUGGUGGGUCGAGAUCAAGAUCUAAUCAAUUCCCUGGUUAAUAAGAAAUUAAAUUCAGUAUAAACUAGCUCAGUAGUUACCCAACAAGAAUUAAUUAAUGAUUUGAUCAACGUGAAGUUAAAAUCAGUAGAAACAACCACUCAGGUUACUCAUCCACAAUACCAACCUAACACCCAAAGUCAAGGAGAACAAACUUCUCCAACAGAAUCUGAUUUCGAAGAAAAUCAAGUCAACCACCAACUGCUAGUCCUCAACAAACCAUUUCAAAAUUCGAUGGAAGAAACUCAAUGCUGACAUCGAAGCAAUGGAAAACAUUCCUAGAAGAAAAUAUACGAAGAACAAAAAUUGGACAUUUACAAUAAAUGGACCAAUUUCAUGAAAAAACACAGAUUUGAAGUAUUGUUCUUCGAUUUCGUUGAAAAAUAUUAUGAAUCUGAAAAGAAAUUACAAGUCAUCACCAAAGAAAAUUGGGUCAAAGAAGACAAAACCAUAGUGUCUUUUAGUGAGCCUCCACAAGAAACAAUUUUAAUUACAACUGCAAACACAUAGGUACCAGCCACCCUUUUCAAACUUCCCAAAGAAGAUGCAGGAGUCAAGCCAGUCAUUGAACAAAACGAUUUCACAAAACAGAGUCUACACACCAUAGGAAAACAAUUAGAUAAAAUGUAAACCAAAAUAGAUAGACUUUCACAUGCCAUACCAACAAUUAAGGAAAAACCCUUAGUCAACUUCCCAAGAGCCUCAUCUAACACAACAGCUUUGAAAACAAUCUACAUAAGUUAAAAAAUAGAUCAAAUGUUAUAAAAGUUAAAACAAGAAAAAAUAGUCAAUGUUUUACAACACCCAGAUGAAUUUCAACCAGAAACAACUUCUGUAAUAUGGGAUUCAGAAGAUAAGAGUGAAACAAAUUCCAUCAGAAAAGUAAAAGAAGGUUUUCAAAAUCUUGAACUAAAACGUAUCACAAACAAAAGUGUCAACCCAACUACUCUAACCAAAAGUUGGUAUCCAAGGCCAACACGUCCGGAUAUUCAAUUUCAGAAAAGAAACAUCCAAAACCAAUUCUCAGUCUCGGCUGAUAAACUCUAUGAAUGUAACAUAGAUGGAUAAUCAAAACAAGAACUUUUGAACAAAUGACAACACAUCUCCAUGCUUGCUAAUAGUUAUACUACCAAUCAUAACCUCAGUAAAACCCAAGUUGUCGAGCUUUUGGUCAUUGGAUUUACAAGAAUGCUCUAUUCCUGGUGGGAAAAAUAUCUUAUUGAACAAUCCUGAAAUGAAAUAAAAAACACAGUCAAAAUAGAUGAAGAAGGAACACCUAUUUUUGAUGAACGUAUCCGAAGAGGAGUCCCAGAUACGGUCAACACAUUACUUUUCACUAUCAUUGAACAUUUCAUAGGGACACCUAGUAAUGUCACCUCCUGUUGGAAAUGUGCCCUAAAACCAAUCAUAUGAUGAUACUUUACGGACAUUUCACAAAGUUAAACUA
rnacentral:lncRNA from 1 species